CAGGAGUUGAACCUAGAAUCUUCUGAUCCGUAGUCAGACGCGUUAUCCAUUGCGCCACUGGCCCGCGCUUGCUCAGUCGGCCUCAGUGUUAGUAUUUUCGUUACUUUACACAAUUCACACCAGACGAGGAAGUGGUUGACUAGGAACAAAAUCUGUACCAAUUCUGGGAAAGCAUAAUUGAUUUUUAUGACUUGCUUGCACAACACAUUUACAUAAAAUGUUUUCAUUGGAGACAGAGGGCGACCUGCACUUCUCUGACUGUCCCCAUGGGACGCUUGUUUGGUGCUUCGGGGCUGUUUGCUUUGCUUCGUUUUGGUUUGGCUUUUGCUUGAACAAAUCUCCAUGGACGCAGGGUUCACGUUCCCUCUGGACUCUGUCUUCACUCCAGCUUAUCCUGGUGCCUGGCUUUGGGGCUCUUCCUCACCGCCCCGCCCGCAGACGUCGCCCACAAACUGCAAGAAACACCAGAUGCAAUAAGGAGGCGAGAAUUCAGUGGAAGUAUACAUUUUAAGAUUCGCAUUUGACGGAGAAACUUGGAAACCAGGAACUCAUUUACUAACAAACACAAAAUUGGCUUAAAUUGUACUGGGCUCUUCGAGGGAGGCAGAAUAGUCACCAGCGUGAGCAGGCGUUCGUCAGAUUCCACAGCCUCACGAUCAGGCAGCCGGUGUUUUUGAGCUCUCCAAGGCCGGAUCUCGGCGUGGACGGUGGAGACGUGGAAAUCUGGACGUUCUCAGGUGCGGGAAUUCUCUUUCCCUCUGCCCUCAGAAGCAUCUAGAUCUGAAAACGCUCUCACCACCCAGCUGCUAGCAGCCUGGUGCACAGCGCCUGCACGUCUAACGCGGAAUAUGCUGCAAGCGUCUCCUAACGGGUCCCGCAUCCGGCCUUUCCAGCCCUCACCGAACACUCCACCAUGAGCAGCCAGGGGAUAUUUCUGAACCUACUCCACUUGAUGGCCCAGCUGUGCUCACAACUCAGUGGCGUCUCCUCCUUGCAUCGGAGUAAGCGCCCAAGUCCCCACCUGGGUUUCCGGGCCCCUGAAGACCUCGGGUGUCACCCUGCGCCCCUGCUCACCCGGCUGCAGUCGCUGUCAGCCUUGCUCUUCGCUGGAAGCAUCAGGCUCCUCGCUGUCCCGUGCUGGGCCCUGCCCGGUCCCAGCCCCUUACCUACUGCAGGUGUUUCCUCAAAUAACACCUGCAACUCACACCUGAAACUUUCACCUCCCCUCUUUCCGGUGCUUCCCCUCAUUCUUUGCUUUAUUUCCCCCCAUGUCACUCAUAAUCACUGUAACACACUGUGUGACUUAUUUAUUUUGGGUGGGACCAUGUGAGUUAGUUCAUGGGACCAUGGGACCGUGUGUUGAAAUGUGAGUACUCCUGGCUCCCCAUUACACGCUUAUCCCUUCACA